rnacentral:rRNA from 1 species
AGCCCGCUCAGAAACGUAAAGAAUUGAGGGGCCCGCACAAGCGGAGGAGCAUGUGGUUUAAUUCGAUGAUACGCGAGGAACCUUACCUGGGCUCGAACGUAAGAUGACUGUAGGUGAAAGCUUACAUCUCUUCGGAGCAUUUUACGAGGUGCUGCAUGGUUGUCGUCAGCUCGUGCCGUGAGGUGUCGGGUUAAGUCCCAUAACGAGCGCAACCCCUACCUUUAGUUGCCAUCAGGUUAAGCUGGGGACUCUAAAGGAACUGCCUACGCAAGUAGUGAGGAAGGCGGGGAUGACGUCAAAUCAGCACGGCCCUUACGUCCAGGGCUACACACGUGCUACAAUGGCCGAUACAGAGGGCAGCUACCUGGUGACAGGAUGCAAAUCUCCAAAGUCGGUCUCAGUUCGGAUCGGAGUCUGCAACCCGACUCCGUGAAGUUGGAUUCGCUAGUAAUCGCGCAUCAGCCAUGGCGCGGUGAAUACGUUCCCGGGCCUU